GACGAACGCUGGCGGCGUGCUUAACACAUGCAAGUCGAACGGAAAGGCCCUGCUUUUGUGGGGUGCUCGAGUGGCGAACGGGUGAGUAACACGUGAGUAACCUGCCCUUGACUUUGUGAUAACUUCAGGAAACUGGGGCUAAUACCGGAUAGGAGCUCCUGCUGCAUGGUGGGGGUUGGAAAGUUUCGGCGGUUGGGGAUGGUCUCGCGGCUUAUCAGCUUGUUGGUGGGGUAGUGGCUUACCAAGGCUUUGACGGGUAGCCGGCCUGAGAGGGUGACCGGCCACAUUGGGACUGAGAUACGGCCCAGAAGCCUACGGGAGGCAGCAGUGGGGAAUAUUGCAGAAUGGGCGGAAGCCUGAUGCAGCAACGCCGCGUGCGGGAUGACGGCCUUCGGGUUGUAAACCACUUUCGACUGUGACGAAGCGUGAGUGACGGUAAUGGGUAAAGAAGCACCGGCUAACUACGUG
rnacentral:rRNA from 1 species